rnacentral:rRNA from 1 species
UGGGGAAUUUUGGACAAUGGGGGAAACCCUGAUCCAGCCAUCCCGCGUGUGCGAUGAAGGCCUUCGGGUUGUAAAGCACUUUUGGCAGGAAAGAAACGUCGCAGGUUAAUACCCCGCGAAACUGACGGUACCUGCGGAAUAAGCACCGGCUAACUACGUGCCAGCAGCCGCGGUAAUACGUAGGAUGCAAGCGUUAAUCGGAAUUACUGGGCGUAAAGCGUGCGCAGGCGGUUCGGAAAGAAAGAUGUGAAAUCCCAGAGCUUAACUUUGGAACUGCAUUUUUAACUACCGGGCUAGAGUGUGUCAGAGGGAGGUGGAAUUCCGCGUGUAGCAGUGAAAUGCGUAGAUAUGCGGAGGAACACCGAUGGCGAAGGCAGCCUCCUGGGAUAACACUGACGCUCAUGCACGAAAGCGUGGGGAGCAAACAGGAUUAGAUACCCUGGUAGUCCACGCCCUAAACGAUGUCAACUAGUUGUUGGGGAUUCAUUUCCUUAGUAACGUAGCUAACGCGUGAAGUUGACCGCCU